CCUACGGGAGGCAGCAGUGGGGAAUAUUGGGCAAUGGAGGAAACUCUGACCCAGCGACGCCGCGUGCGGGAUGAAGGCCUUCGGGUUGUAAACCGCUUUCAGUAGGGAGGAAGCGAAAGUGACGGUACCUACAAAAGAAGCACCGGCUAACUAUGUGCCAGCAGCCGCGGUAAUACAUAGGGUGCAAGCGUUGUCCGGAAUUAUUGGGCGUAAAGAGCUCGUAGGUCGUUUGUUACGUCGGAUGUGAAAACCUGAGGCUCAACCUCAGGCCUGCAUUCGAUACGGGCAAACUAGAGUUUGGUAGGGGAGACUGGAAUUCCUGGUGUAGCGGUGGAAUGCGCAGAUAUCAGGAGGAACACCAAUGGCGAAGGCAGGUCUCUGGGCCAAUACUGACACUGAGGAGCGAAAGUCUGGGGAGCGAACAGGAUUAGAUACCCUGGUAGUCCAGACCGUAAACGGUGGGCACUAGUUGUGGGAACCUUCCACGGUUUCUGCGACGCAGCUAACGCAUUAAGUGCCCCGCCUGGGGAGUACGAUCGCAAGAUUAAAACUCAAAGGAUUGACGG
rnacentral:rRNA from 1 species